ACAAGUUGUGGUUUAUAUCAGUUUAACAGUUUAGGUGAUCUCAUGUCUGGACAAGUUGAAACCAGUUACAUACAUUUAUAGAAGAAGAUAAUGGGAUUUAAGCAUUUCUGCAAAUCACAAAUGAUUUUGAGAACCAAAAAUUAUAAUACAUUUUCAUAUUUUUGUUUUCUCAGUUCUACAGCAGGUAUCUGUGAUGAUAAAUUAAGCAUUAAAACAAUUGUUUUGCUCCAAUCGUUCAUAAUUUGUUGUCAAAAUGCGCACACAAGCUCAUUACAUGUUGUCCACUGAUUUUGGGUGAAGCAAUAGUACUGGUUAGUUUAAAAACAUGAUGAUAUAGUAAUAUAUAUAUUUCAAGCAAAAUCCAAAACAAUAUUUGAUAUCGCUCGCUGAUCAAGGCAUAUCCCAAGACAUUUUUGAAAAUUUCGAUAAAGCUUGCGAUUUCAUUCAGGCCCUGAAAUGCGUUUUUGUCUUGGCUCUUCACAUUCUUAUUGUCUUGUGACUUGAAAUUAGUAAAGUUGAUGCUCGAUGAUAACCGACGGGGCAUGACUGAAGCUAUUUUAAAAAAACAUGUUCAUACAGAUUUUAAAUAGCUUGUUAUUAACAGGUCUUGUGAAGUGCAUCAAUAAAUGCAUAUUAGUUUUAUUUGGUGCAGUUUUUUAUUGUUUUUCUGUUUGGGAUUCUUGAAAUUUCAAAUGCAUAAAAUUGAUUCCACCAAAUAAUGCGUUGCCCUAUGGUCUGUUUUUGAGAUCACUCAAAGAACCAAUAUAUAACCAGCAGGUCUGAAUCGAUUUUCAAAAAUAAGGUUGAGGCUUAAAUGAUAAUAAAUGCAUUGUAAACUGCAUAUUAAAAUGCAAUUUGUCAUUACAUGACAUUUUAAUUGCUAAAAAUUGGAAAUUGAUACAGAUAAUGCUACAAAAUGAUGAGCUGCCUUUUGGUCCGUGUUUUUGAGAUCGGUAGAUCACUCAAUGAUAUGACAAGGCAUGUCUGAAGCUAUUAAAAAUAAAUCGAGGUUGAAACAUGUAUUUUAAUUAAAUAUAUUUUAAAUAAAUUUCUUGAUUAAUUCCAUUUCUAAAAUUUUAAUAUAGUAAUAAAAAAAAUGUUUUCUAAAUUUCUGAAAAUUUCUCCAUAACUUUACAUGGAAUUGAAACUACUUUCAUUGUACAAUUGGGGCUUGAAAAGUUGAGCAUAAUUAUUUUUUGUCUUGGCUGGACUUUUAUUGCGUAGGUCAAAUAGUUCUUGAAAAAAUAUCGCAGUCGUGCUAGCAAAUGAUGAGCUGCCUUUUGGUCCGUGUUUUUGAGAUCAGUAGAUCACUCGGUGAUAUGUGGCGAGGCAUGUCUGAAGCUA